GGAAUAUUGGGCAAUGGAGGAAACUCUGACCCAGCGACGCCGCGUGCGGGAUGAAGGCCUUCGGGUUGUAAACCGCUUUCAGUAGGGAAGAAGCGAAAGUGACGGUACCUACAAAAGAAGCACCGGCUAACUAUGCGCCAGCAGCCGCGGUAAUACAUAGGGUGCAAGCGUUGUCCGGAAUUAUUGGGCGUAAAGAGCUCGUAGGUCGUUUGUUACGUCGGAUGUGAAAACCUGAGGCUCAACCUCAGGCCUGCAUUCGAUACGGGCAAACUAGAGUUUGGUAGGGGAGACUGGAAUUCCUGGUGUAGCGGUGGAAUGCGCAGAUAUCAGGAGGAACACCAAUGGCGAAGGCAGGUCUCUGGGCCAAUACUGACACUGAGGAGCGAAAGUCUGGGGAGCGAACAGGAUUAGAUACCCUGGUAGUCCAGACCGUAAACGGUGGGCACUAGUUGUGGGAACCUUCCACGGUUUCUGCGACGCAGCUAACGCAUUAAGUGCCCCGCCUGGGGAGUACGAUCGCAAGAUUAAAACUCAAAUGAAUUGACGG
rnacentral:rRNA from 1 species